rnacentral:SRP_RNA from 2 species
CGCUGGUGGCUUCGCAAUUGUACUCUGUAAACCCCGCCAGGACCGGAAGGUAGCAACGGUAACAGAUCUAUGAUGUGCCGAAGUUUUGCUAGUGGGG